rnacentral:rRNA from 1 species
CACGUGUGCAACCUGCCUUUAUCUGGGGGAUAGCCUUUCGAAAGGAAGAUUAAUACCCCAUAAUAUAUUGAGUGGCAUCACUUGAUAUUGAAAACUCCGGUGGAUAGAGAUGGGCACGCGCAAGAUUAGAUAGUUGGUAGGGUAACGGCCUACCAAGUCAAUGAUCUUUAGGGGGCCUGAGAGGGUGAUCCCCCACACUGGUACUGAGACACGGACCAGACUCCUACGGGAGGCAGCAGUGAGGAAUAUUGGACAAUGGGUGAGAGCCUGAUCCAGCCAUCCCGCGUGAAGGACGACGGCCCUAUGGGUUGUAAACUUCUUUUGUAUAGGGAUAAACCUACUCUCGUGAGAGUAGCUGAAGGUACUAUACGAAUAAGCACCGGCUAACUCCGUGCCAGCAGCCGCGGUAAUACGGAGGGUGCAAGCGUUAUCCGGAUUUAUUGGGUUUAAAGGGUCCGUAGGCGGAUCUGUAAGUCAGUGGUGAAAUCUCAUAGCUUAACUAUGAAACUGCCAUUGAUACUGCAGGUCUUGAGUAAAGUAGAAGUGGCUGGAAUAAGUAGUGUAGCGGUGAAAUGCAUAGAUAUUACUUAGAACACCAAUUGCGAAGGCAGGUCACUAUGUUUAACUGACGC